GACGAACGCUGGCGGCGUGCUUAACACAUGCAAGUCGAACGGAAAGGCCUGCUUUCCCUUGUGGAUUGCGGGUACUCGAGUGGCGAACGGGUGAGUAACACGUGAGUGAUCUGCCCCCAACUUGGGUAUAAGCCUGGGAAACUGGGUCUAAUUCCCGAUAGGACUGCAGGGUGGUGCCUGUGGUGGAAAACGAUUUUCUAGUGGUUGGGGAUGAGCUCGCGGCCUAUCAGCUUGUUGGUGGGGUAAUGGCCUACCAAGGCGGCGACGGGUAGCCGGCCUGGGAGGGUGGGCGGCCACAUUGGGACUGGGAUACGGCCCAGACUCCGACGGGAGGCAGCAGUGGGGAAUAUUGCACAAUGGGCGGAAGCCUGAUGCAGCGACGCCGCGUGGGGGAUGACGGCCUUCGGGUUGUAAACUCCUUUCGACCGCGAGGAAGCCACCUGGUUGGAAGGGUGGUGACGGUAGUGGGAGAAGAAGCACCGGCUAACUACGUG
rnacentral:rRNA from 1 species